UUUUAUUACGUUGUGUGCAAUCGUGUGCAGAGAAUAUUUAAGGCGGGGAUAAUCAAUAAAAUUCGAAGCAUCAGCUUGAUUUAUAAUCAAAUUGUUCACAGCAACUGAUCGUGAAAGAUCAUUAUAAUUUUAUCAAUUUACACUUGAAAUUUUAAUUCAAAAUCAUCAAAAUGCCAGGACCAUGUAAAGAACAAUGCAAAGAUUGCAAAUGUGCUGGUGACUGCAAAUGUUGUUCGACUCAAUCAGAAGAAAAAUGUAAAUGUUCUACUGGAGGCAAAUGCUCAUGUGGACCUACAUGUACUUGCAGCAAAUAAAAUAUAAAAUAAUGUUGAAAAUUAAUCAACUAUACAUUCCUUGGCUUUCAAAUUUUCAACUGUCUUCAAUUUUAUAAAUUAUUUAUCUUCUCAACUUCAAAGUGCAGCUAUUCUGGUUAACGAUAUGACAAUAAAAAAAAAAGAAAAAUCAAUAAA